rnacentral:rRNA from 1 species
UCCAGACUCCUACGGGAGGCAGCAGUGGGGGAUAUUGCACAAUGGGGGGAACCCUGAUGCAGCGACGCCGCGUGGGUGAAGGAGCGUUUCGGCGCGUAAAGCCCUAUCGGCAGGGAAGAAGGAGGACGGUACCUGACUAAGAAGCCCCGGCUAACUACGUGCCAGCAGCCGCGGUAAUACGUAGGGGGCAAGCGUUAUCCGGAUUUACUGGGUGUAAAGGGGGCGCAGACGGCAGCGCAAGCCAGGAGUGAAAGCCCGGGGCCCAACCCCGGGACUGCUCUUGGAACUGCGUGGCUGGAGUGCAGGAGGGGCAGGCGGAAUUCCUGGUGUAGCGGUGAAAUGCGUAGAUAUCAGGAGGAACACCGGUGGCGAAGGCGGCCUGCUGGACUGCAACUGACGUUGAGGCCCGAAAGCGUGGGGAGCAAACAGGAUUAGAUACCCCACC